rnacentral:rRNA from 1 species
CACGUAGGGUGCGAGCGUUGUCCGGAAUUAUUGGGCGUAAAGAGCUCGUAGGCGGUGUGUCGCGUCGGCCGUGAAAACCUGCAGCUUAACUGUGGGCUUGCGGUCGAUACGGGCAUCACUGGAGUUCGGCAGGGGAGACUGGAAUUCCUGGUGUAGCGGUGAAAUGCGCAGAUAUCAGGAGGAACACCGGUGGCGAAGGCGGCAUCCUGGACCGAGAUUGACGCAGAUGCGCGAAAGCCAGGGGAGCAAACGGG